CUUUCCAUGUAAACUAAAUGAUCUAAUUACACUUCAAAAACAUUUUCCCUAAGAUUAUUUCCAUCAAUUAUAUAUAUACUGAUGUAUGUUAUUUGAUGCUAUAAAACCAGGGUGUGGUGUCAUGAUUGUGAUCACUACUCCACAGACUCAGGCUCCAAAUUAAGUUUUCACUUCACUUUUCUAUAGUGGAAGGAAGUGGAGACUCAACAUCCAUCUUUUCUAACAGUAUAUAGUCCAAAGAGGAUCACUGAAAACAAUAUAUGAGUAAUACUAGCACUGCGAGCAGUUACAGUACUUUGUCUAAGCAUUGCAAUGGCAAUAUUAUGGAUACUAAAGAGCAAAUCCUUUUUGUUGAUGCUUUUAAUUAGAAUUAUUUUUUAACUUUUGAUAGGCAUGUUAUAAAAAAUUUACUGAGCCAUGGAGUUUGGGUGGGGUGAGGAUUAUGCCCUUAAAACGAACAAAUGUGGCCCUGGAGCACAAAAGCAGUCUCUGGGUUAUAUUUGUAGCAAUAGCCAAAAACACAUUGUAUGGGUCAAAAUAAUAGAUUUUUAUUUUAUGCCAAACAUCAUUAGGAUAUUAAAUUUACAUUUAGUCAUUUAGCAGAUGCUUUUAUCCAAAGAGAUUUACAAAUGAUAAAAUAUAAAAAAUAUUAAGUAAAGAUCAUGUUGCAUGAAGAUAUUUGUACAUAUUUUUGUGUACCCUCAGAUUUUGAAAUAGUUGUAUCUUGGACAAAUAUUGUCCUCCUAACAAACCAGACAUCAACGGAGAGCUAUUUUUUUUUCAGCUUUCAGAUGAUGUAUAAAUCUCAAUUUUGAAAAAUGUACACUUAGGACUUGUUUUGUAGUCCAGGGUCUCAAAUAAAGAAAUAAAUAACACAGGUAAAGGGCAGCUAAUGCCGUAAUAAAUGUAUUGCUACAAACAACAACAAAAUCAGAAAUCUUAAUUAUGAAUUAUUUAUUUAUUUAUUUUUAAGUUUUAUUUUACUUAGACUUUAAAU